AGGAGCUACGGGCGGUGCCAUCUUGGCGGGGGGGCGAGCACACACAAAAUGGCCGCCCCAGGCUACCACCUUCCCCUUCCCUGCCGAGCAAUGAGGGAGACCCAGAGCUUUCCGGCCACUCUUGUAACCCUCCAGCCCUUCCUAUCUGUGCACACACCCCCUCCAACUUGUGUUUUUUUUUUUUUGUUUUUCCUCAACCUCAUCAGUGCAGGCGCUGGCUGCGUCCUUUCAGAAAGACCACAUCCUCACAGUGAGGAGAGUCACCUUGCCCCUUCUUCUGCCUCCUCCCCAGGAAGGAGUCUGCCCUUUGAGCAAUUGCACUACACCCACCUCACCUCAGCGACAGAGGGGCUGCAACACCUGGCCACCAUGAGGAGAUCUCCAGGCCAGCACUUUGUCCAGCCACCACAAAAUGGCUGCUUGUGUGCGGCAGCCCCCCGGCCCCAGGCGACGGGAUCUCUCCUGCGGGGGCACCAGAGCAGCCAAGCUGCCUUCAUGGCCACUGGAUGGUGAAGGAAGGUUUAAUGGCCCCAUGCUCGAGGCUGGAGAUGCCAAACAAACAUUUUAUGGAGUUGAGUGGAUGGAUGUGCUAUGGGAUCGGCUCAGGUUGAUGGGAGUCCUGCAGAUUUAGGUCCUCUGCAUCUUCAAGACUCAGGAUAAAGAAGAGACCGGGAUGGCCACUGGUGCUUGAAGGCCAUCUAUUAUCAUUUAAAAUUCCUGAAGCUCUUCAGUUUAUACAGAGCCCUAUCUGGAAGUAAAAUAAAAGCUAUACUGUUGUAAAAAGCAUAGGGCUAGGAAAAAGAAGGCUUGCUUUCAGUUUUCAGCCUUUUCAUACUUCAUGUGUGACCAUCAGCAAGUCACCCAUUCCCUCUGUUUGCAUCUGUGAAAGGCUCACUUCUGUGAGGCCAGUGGAAUUACACUGGAGUAAAACACGAACACGAGGAGAAAGAUGCAGCUCAUUCUGAACUUGUCGACCUGCUUGUAUUGAUGAUUUUCUGCCAAAUGCAUCUUGUUGUGUAAUCAGUCACACUUCUGCUCUUCAGAUGUCCAACUCAGAGCCAGUUUGGCAUGUUACUUCUCUUCAGAAGUCCCUUCAUUAUGGACGAUGGCUGCUUUAUUUUAUGAAACAAGUCUUG